UCCCAAGGGUUGGGCUGUUCGCCCAUUAAAGCGGUACGCGAGCUGGGUUCAGAACGUCGUGAGACAGUUCGGUCACUAUCCGUCGUGGGAGUAGGAAAUUUGAGAGGAGCUGUCCUUAGUACGAGAGGACCGGGAUGGACAUACCUCUGGUGUACCAUUUGUCGUGCCAACGGCAUAGCUUGGUAGCUAUGUGUGGAAGGUAUAAGUGCUGAAAGCAUCUAAUCAUGAAGCCC
rnacentral:rRNA from 1 species